rnacentral:rRNA from 1 species
UACGUAGGGUGCAAGCGUUGUCCGGAAUUAUUGGGCGUAAAGAGCUUGUAGGCGGUUUGUCGCGUCUGCUGUGAAAUUUCGGGGCUCAACCCCGAACUUGCAGUGGGUACGGGCAGACUAGAGUGUGGUAGGGGAGACUGGAAUUCCUGGUGUAGCGGUGAAAUGCGCAGAUAUCAGGAGGAACACCGGUGGCGAAGGCGGGUCUCUGGGCAACAACUGACGCUGAGGAGCGAAGGCCAGGGGAGCAAACGGG